UGGGGAAUUUUGGACAAUGGGGGCAACCCUGAUCCAGCAAUGCCGCGUGAGUGAAGAAGGCCUUCGGGUUGUAAAGCUCUUUUACCCGGGAAGAUAAUGACUGUACCGGGAGAAUAAGCCCCGGCUAACUCCGUGCCAGCAGCCGCGGUAAUACGGAGGGGGCUAGCGUUGUUCGGAAUUACUGGGCGUAAAGCGUACGUAGGCGGCUUUGUAAGUUAGAGGUGAAAGCCCGGGGCUCAACCCCGGAAUUGCCUUUAAGACUGCAUCGCUUGAAUCGCGGAGAGGUGAGUGGAAUUCCGAGUGUAGAGGUGAAAUUCGUAGAUAUUCGGAAGAACACCAGUGGCGAAGGCGGCUCACUGGACGCGUAUUGACGCUGAGGUACGAAAGCGUGGGGAGCAAACAGGAUUAGAUACCCAGGUAGUCCCUGAGCGGGCUGGCAAGGCGCAU
rnacentral:rRNA from 1 species